UCUUGAUGGUUCAGAUCCCCUAACAAGAUU
rnacentral:piRNA from 1 species